rnacentral:rRNA from 1 species
GACGAACGCUGGCGGCGUGCCUAAUACAUGCAAGUAGAACGCUGAAGGAGGAGCUUGCUCUUCUGGAUGAGUUGCGAACGGGUGAGUAACGCGUAGGUAACCUGCCUGGUAGCGGGGGAUAACUAUUGGAAACGAUAGCUAAUACCGCAUAAGAGUAGAUGUUGCAUGACAUUUACUUAAAAGGUGCAAUUGCAUCACUACCAGAUGGACCUGCGUUGUAUUAGCUAGUUGGAGGGGUAACGGCUUACCAAGGCGACGAUACAUAGCCGACCUGAGAGGGUGAUCGGCCACACUGGGACUGAGACACGGCCCAGACUCCUACGGGAGGCAGCAGUAGGGAAUCUUCGGCAAUGGACGGAAGUCUGACCGAGCAACGCCGCGUGAGUGAAGAAGGUUUUCGGAUCGUAAAGCUCUGUUGUAAGAGAAGAACGAGUGUGAGAGUGGAAAGUUCACACUGUGACGGUAUCUUACCAGAAAGGGACGGCUAACUACGUG